UGAAGCAGACGUGUGCCCCCUCGGGGCGUGGCUCCAGCUGAUGACUCCCGCAAAAGCCCGAGUACAGGGUCGGUCCCGGAUGGCAGAAGAACCAGGCCUCCGCGCCAGGCGGGUGCGUGCUCGGACCCUGCUUCUGCCCAAGGGUCCGUGCAGACCCCGGGCGAGUGGACCCCCUCCCCCUGCCCCAGCCUCCCGAGGUGGACCCCGGACAGGGACCCACGCGGCGUGCGAGGGCGUGGCGCACACAGGGCGCCCGGAGAACCCUCCUCCGCGGCCUUCCCCUACAGAGGAGUUCUGGGCCCGCCUCUGCCUUCCCUGCCCAGCCCGCCGUCAGCCGGUUCCCACUGCGCAUCCUGGAGCUGCGAGACGCGAUUUUCAUGGGAUUGGAAUAAAUACACCGAACGACCCCGAGGUUUUACCAUCCGGGCUGCCGAGGACACGUGGAUGCUGUUGUUGGAUGUGGCUCGCAGCAUCCAGGAGCCUCUAGCUGUGCUGGGGACGUUCCCCGCCGAGAACCUGGAGAGAACAGAGCUUGGGAGCCCUGCCCUUUGCUGGUGCCCGGGGCGGCCGGGCUCUAAGGUCAUCAGCUGGUUCCCGGCCCCAGAUCCGGUUCCCUGGAGACGGACCUGAAGCAGGAUUUGUGUCCCGGCGGUAAAGGCCACGCGAGAAACCAGGACGGGCGAGGAAGGACAGAAGGAGAGACCACACCCCAGAGAGUCCCAGGUGCCCGGCCAUCGAAGCAGAAGCGGAGACGCUGGAGGAAGGACACGCGGAAACCAUUCGCCCGGUGGGACGUCACCCUGUUCGUAGGCUCAUCGCCGCAGCUGGGGUGUUGGGGCUCCGAGGGCUGACGUGCGCCCCACGGAGCCGCCAGGAGCCGGGCACGCUUAGCACCCAUCUGCUGGCGGCCGUGGGCAAGUCUGUCCUUCGAUCCUUGGCGCCCGUUGGUGGAACCACAUCAUCUUCCGUGCCCACACGAAUCCACCUGCGGCCGAGGGGGUCCUGACAGCUCUGGCGGAUGGCCUUGGGCACUUUGUCCCGACCGGGCCGUGACUCUGUCCUAGGCGGAUCCCGUUCCACCGGCUUGUGUCGACAGAUGCCGUGUUGGGGCGUCGCUGGGGUCCCUCUUGCCAGGCCUCAGUUCCCUUGCCUGCGGUCCGGGCUCAUCCCAGCGCUGAGGUCGGGGCCACUCUGCACGCCGUAGCCUGGUCUCCUCAACGGUGCAGCGCACGGGGAAAUCAGGGGAGCCGGGGACCCUGGCCUGGGGUGAAAACGCCCCAGUGCAACGCGCAGGCCUCCGUUGGAUCCUGGUCCAUUUUGGGGUCCUCUGGGGAGAUCCGAACACAGACCAGGUAGCAGACGAUUAGGGAAUUACUGUUACUUUUGCUAGGUGAGCCAACAGCAUCGUGAUCGCAGGGACGAAUGUCUUUCUGUUUUCAGAGAUGCCGCUGUGAUGUUUAGGACGGAAGUACGUGCAUGUCCGCACGAUGCUAGUGGGUUCCACAACGUGUAUGACUAUCGGCUGCGCAGAAAAAUUGGC